rnacentral:rRNA from 1 species
UACGUAGGGUGCGAGCGUUGUCCGGAAUUAUUGGGCGUAAAGAGCUCGUAGGCGGCUUGUCGCGUCGGAUGUGAAAGCCCGGGGCUUAACUCCGGGUCUGCAUUCGAUACGGGCAGGCUAGAGUUCGGUAGGGGAGAUCGGAAUUCCUGGUGUAGCGGUGAAAUGCGCAGAUAUCAGGAGGAACACCGGUGGCGAAGGCGGGACUCUGGGCCGAUACUGACGCUGAGGAGCGAAAGCGUGGGGAGCGAACAGG